AAGUGCACCUCAUGUGGAGGCUACAAGUGGAUUUUAGCAAGUAGGUAGAUUCGUAGGAACAAAAUCUGCCGAUCACGGGGAUGGCUGUGUAUGAGGUGUGCUUCAGUGAGCGGCCAGGAGUUGGUCCUAGUGACAAGAACCGAGGCCUUCAAGCCGGGGAGAGGCGCAAAGCCAGGGGGCUUCCACGGCACCGAUGGUGAUCUCAUGGAAGAGGAGUGUCAUCUCUGCGUGGGAUGCACCACCCAGACACGGCCACCGAGCAUCUGCGUGGGAUGCACCACCCCAGAAAGGGCCACCGAGCAUCUGCGUGGGAUGCAUCACCCCAGAAAGGGCCACUGAGCAUCUGCAUGGAAUGCACCGCCCCAGAAAAGGCCACUGAGCGUCUGCAUGGGAUGCACCACCCAGACAGGGCCACCGAGUGAAGAGGAGUGUCAUUUCUGCAUGGGAUGCACCACCCCAGACAGGACCACCGAGCACACACAUUGGGCGGUUGCUCAGGGUCACCCACCGAGGGGCAGAAUAGAGCCUGGAGCCGCUGUUUGCUCCCAGCCACAGACACCGGGCAAUGCCGCCUCUCACACUGUCCUGAAAGUGGAUGGGUGGCUGUCAGACUUCAGUGGAUCUAUCCUCCCACUCCCCGACAUAAGCAAAACUUCCUCCCCUCCAUGCUUCCUCAGCUCUAACAGUUCUCAGCAUCCUCUCAGCUGUGCAAACUGAAAACUGCUUGUCAUUCUCAGGUUAAAAUGCAUCCACCAUUCCUGUGACACCUGCCGCCAAUAUUCUAGGUCAUCGUCUCAUCUUUUAUCCAUCUCCACAGCCACCCUUUGCCUAAACCACCAUUGCCACUGUCUGACUGAGCCCUCUAGGGAGUGUCCACCGUCUGGCCGAGCCUUCCCCUGGACACUUCCUCUCUCUCUUCCUUCUCACUGUGUCUUGCCACAGCCCUUGUCCCUUAGUGCCUGGAAGCUGCUCAAAAGCACAAACCAGGCCAUGUUGCUUUUCUGCUUAAAGCACUUGAAGGCUUUAUUUUUACCUUAAAUUAGACCUAAAGUUCUCUUCCUAACUUACAAAGCCCCAAGUCAUUUUCUUGUUUCCUUUUUUUUAUUUUUAUAUUUUUUCUUUUUUUAAUUAUACUUUAAGUUCUAGGGUACAUGUGUACAAUGUGCAGGUUAGUUACAUAUGUAUACAUGUGCCAUGUUGGUGUGCUGCACCCAUUAACCCAUCAUUUACAAUAGGUAUAUCUCCUAAUGCUAUCCCCCCCCCUCCCCCCACCCCACAACAGGCCCCGGUGUGUGAUGUUCCCCUUCCUGUGUCCAUGUGUUCUCAUUGUUCAAUUCCCAUCUAUGAGUGGGAACAUGCGGUGUUUGGUUUUUUGUCCUUGCGAUAGUCUGCUGAGAAUGAUGGUUUCCAGCUUCAUCCAUGUCCCUACAAAGAACAUGAACUCAUCCUUUUAUAUGGCUGCAUAGUAUUCCAUGGUGUAUAUGUGCCACAUUUUCUUAAUCCAGUCUAUCAUUGAUGGACAUUUGGGUUGGUUCCAAGUCUUUGCUACUGUGAAUAAUGCCACAAUAAACAUACGUGUGCAUGUGUCUUUAUAGCAGCAUGAUUUAUAAUCCUCUGGGUAUAUACCCAGUAAUGGGAUGGCUGGAUCAAAUGGUGUUUCUAGUUCUAGAUCCUUGAGGAAUCACCACACUGAACACCAUGUACAGCCACAGACCCCUUCUGCCUGCUCCUGCCCCAUUCCUGAGUCUGGGAUGUGUGAGGUACCUUGGUGGAAGGCACAGAGGAUUUAGAGAGAAGAUGAGCACAACAAUUGCAUCCAAAUAUGAUUUGUGACGUGGGAGAGGGUCAGACUGUGCUGACCUGGAAGGGGAGCAGAUGAGUUUUAGUUGGGAAAGGCCGAGUUUAGGAAGGAGGCUGUAUAGGGAGAGGGAAUAGAAAUAAUUCAAAAUUGAGGACAGAAAGAGUAUGGCAUGAGGGCAGGGCUGUCAGCACACCCAGGAUUUGUCCAAGAAGCCAUGAGCUGUCCAGUUGGGAAAGUCCACUUUGUAUGGGAAGGGGA
rnacentral:lncRNA from 10 species